UUGUUUCCCUUUUUUUUUACUUAGCGAGCUCUUUUUGGAAUAAUUCAUGUGUUCUUUUUUAUUUAUUUAUUAUAUUUCGAAAGUUGUGACUGCCUUGUUAGCUAUUGUGAGCUUUGUCCUCAUUGCUUCCUCAAUGUUGAAUGGUGUAAGGAAGAUGUUGCUUGAACCUCUUACUGAUGUGAUUAUGGAAUGGUUCAGUGAGCUUUGUCCUCAUUGCUUCCUCAAUGUUGAAUGGUGUAAGGAAGAUGUUGCUUGAACCUCUUACUGAUGUGAUUAUGGAAUGGUUCUCUUGAGAC
rnacentral:lncRNA from 1 species